AGUGAACGCUGGCGGUAGGCCUAACACAUGCAAGUCGAACGGCAGCACAGUAAGAGCUUGCUCUUACGGUUGGCGAGUGGCGGACGGGUGAGGAAUACAUCGGAAUCUACUUUUUCGUGGGGGAUAACGUAGGGAAACUUACGCUAAUACCGCAUACGACCUACGGGUGAAAGCAGGGGAUCUUCGGCCCUUGCGCGAUUGAAUGAGCCGAUGUCGGAUUAGCUAGUUGGCGGGGUAAAGGCCCACCAAGGCGACGAUCCGUAGCUGGUCUGAGAGGAUGAUCAGCCACACUGGAACGGAGACACGGUCAAGACUCCUAAGGGAGGCAGCAGUGGGGAAUAUUGGACAAUGGGCGCAAGCAUGAUCCAGCCAUACCGCGUGGGUGAAGAGGGCCUUCGGGUUGUAAAGCCCUUUUGUUGGGAAAGAAAAGCAGCAGGUUAAUACCACGCUGUUCUGACGGUACCCAAAGAAUAAGCACCGGCUAACUUCGUG
rnacentral:rRNA from 1 species